rnacentral:lncRNA from 1 species
UCUUUGUUCCAUUUUCUUGACACGAGAUAAUCCAACCAAUAUUUAUUUCUAUAUAUUAUUUUCUCAUUUUAAACAAGCAUAAUAUCUCUAGUUAGGGUCCUUGUGGCUUCUGAUCAGCAGAAUUGCCAAAAAUAAAUAAACAUGAUUAUUGGUAUUUUACAUUGCGAACUCAAGAAGUUUAAAACUCAAUUGCCCUUGAUGUUGCAUUGUAUAAGAAAGUGCAACUCACUUUAGCAAGUUCCAAAUGUUGAUCUCUCCAAGUUGCCUCGAGUAAGAAAUUCCAUUAUGAUUUAGGCCAUGUAAAAAUGACACACCGUGCAAAAACCAACAAAUUUAAUAGAUGAAACAACCCAAGCAUUAGUCAUUGAGAGUAAAAGUUAUCUUCAAUAGCAUAAAAAAAAUUUUAAUAUUAAUAUAGAUAAUAAACCUUAACUUAAACUACAACAGUUUAUCAGAAGAUUAAUAAGAUAAUUCACAAAUUCCUCAAUUUAUCAUUUAUCACAAAUUCACAUAGUAAUUUGCAUCUGUUAAAUUCAACUCCAAGCCAUUUGAAACCCAUGAUUUUGUGUUUUUCUCAGAAUCUGCUAAUUGCUAUUACUUUUUUACCCUAAUUUUAUGGUAAAUUCAAUUAAAUAAUUUAUUCAAUCUCAAGCCUUGUUAAUUGUUCCAAUCUGGCCAAAACCAUAAAAUCUUUGAUUGUAGCCCUAGAUAUAAUUUUCCAACCACCAUUUUCAAAUUUCCACCAAAAUCUACUUCUCUCAACUCGAAAUGGUGAUAAUUCGUUCAUCUCGGCUAAAGAUUCCACAUAGAAGGUAGCAUAGUAAUUAAUAAAGAAAUACUUACUGGCAGUUCCGGCGUACGUCUGUCGAACCUAUGGUUGCAAGAGUGGGAAAUAGCGGGAGUUGGGAGGGAAAGUAGAAUAUAGG